rnacentral:rRNA from 1 species
AGAGUUUGAUCCUGGCUCAGGACGAACGCUGGCGGCGGGCUUAACACAUGCAAGUCGAACGAGGUCCAUUCUGUAGCAAUACAGAGGAAGACCUAGUGGCGAACGGGUGAGGAACACGUGAGGAACCUGCCCCGAACUUUGGGAUAACAGUUGGAAACGACUGCUAAUACCGAAUGCCGUUACGAAGUGGCAUCACUUUGUAACGAAAGAAUUUCGGUUCGGGAGGGCCUCGCGGCCUAUCAGCUAGUUGGUGGGGUAAUGGCCUACCAAGGCAUCGACGGGUAGCUGGUCUGAGAGGAUGAUCAGCCACACUGGGACUGAGACACGGCCCAGACUCCUACGGGAGGCAGCAGUGGGGAAUCUUGUGCAAUGGGCGAAAGCCUGACACAGCCACGCCGCGUGCGGGAAGAAGGCCUUCGGGUUGUAAACCGCUUUCAGCAGGAACGAAAAUGACGGUACCUGCAGAAGAAGAUGCGGCCAACUACGUGCCAGCAGCCGCGGUGAUACGUAGGCAUCAAGCGUUGUCCGGAUUUAUUGGGCGUAAAGAGCUCGUAGGCGGUUCAGCAAGUCGGGUGUGAAAACUCUGGGCUUAACCCAGAGCCUGCACUCGAAACUGCUGUGACUAGAGUUCGGUAGGGGAGCAGGGAAUUCCUAGUGUAGCGGUGAAAUGCGCAGAUAUUANNANGAACACCAAUGGCGANNNCACUGCUCUGGGCCGAUACUGACGCUGNNNAGCGAGAGCGUGGGUAGCAAACAGGANNAGAUACCCUGGUAGUCCACGCCGU